GGGGAAUUUUGGACAAUGGGGGAAACCCUGAUCCAGCCAUGCCGCGUGCGGGAUGAAGGCCUUCGGGUUGUAAACCGCUUUUGUCAGAGACGAAAGGGGACGCACGAAUAAUACGUUCCGCUGACGGUAUCUGAAGAAUAAGCACCGGCUAACUACGUGCCAGCAGCCGCGGUAAUACGUAGGGUGCAAGCGUUAAUCGGAAUUACUGGGCGUAAAGGGUGCGCAGGCGGCUGUGCAAGACAGAUGUGAAAUCCCCGGGCUUAACCUGGGAACUGCAUUUGUGACUGCACGGCUAGAGUUUGUCAGAGGAGGGUGGAAUUCCGCGUGUAGCAGUGAAAUGCGUAGAUAUGCGGAAGAACACCAAUGGCGAAGGCGGCUUUCUGGACUGUAACUGACGCUGAGGCAUGAAAGCGUGGGGAGCAAAC
rnacentral:rRNA from 1 species